rnacentral:rRNA from 1 species
UACGAAGGGGGCUAGCGUUGUUCGGAAUCACUGGGCGUAAAGGGCGCGUAGGCGGCCCGCACAAGUCUGCGGUGAAAACCCCCGGCUUAACCGGGGGCCGGCCGUGGAAACUGUCGGGCUGGAGGCUGGGAGAGGGCAGCGGAAUUCCCGGUGUAGCGGUGAAAUGCGUAGAUAUUCGCAAGAACACCAGUGGCGAAGGCGGCUCACUGGCCCGAUACUGACGCUGAGGUGCGAAAGCGUGGGGAGCAAACAGG